UAUUCCGCUAACUCUUUGAUCUCAUUGGUAAGGAACCUGCCCUCUGCCGAUUGGCUCCUUUGGCCGCCGACGUUCGCACGGGACGAUCCGUUAAACUCCUGCGUGCUGAUUGGGCAGUUUGAUCGGCGGGAGGCGAAAUCACGAAAGAAGCUCGGCCUGCCAUUGGCUGCCUGGGGAGUCAGUCGGAGGGGAACCCACCGGCCCGGCCGCCGGCCCGGGGCGGCCACGCGUUGCGCAGGCCGCGGCCCCGGCCCAGCCCCGCGGCCCGGGCAGGGCGGCUCCGGGCGGCCGCCGGCUUCGGGAAGCCGCUCGCCCGCAGAGAGAGCAGAGCCGCGGGGCCUUGUGGCACCCCCGGCUGAGCGGCCACAGGCGUCAUCUGGGAAAAUCUCCAAUACGGUGGCAGUGGAAACGCAGCUCCGGCGUGGGAGGUCGCUUUCACUCCAUUUCGUUUGAAAAGCCGGACAGCUGGCGAACAGCAACCCACAACGGACGAACUCCCUGUAAGCGCAGGACAGGGCUCUGGGCUCUGUCUCCUCUGCUGACGAGAAAGAGGGCGUCAGGUCCCCAAAAUGUAAAGCAGUGUGCUCUCAGUAGAAAAAUAAAGCAGCUGUAAAAAUUCA